UACUGAUAUAACAUUUAAAUUAUUUUGAAAUAACAUUGUUUUCCAAUAAGGAAUCCAUACACACAAACUAUGGAUAAUACCAGUAAAUUAAAUACGCAUACUGAAAAACUUGACAUUUAAGACAUUUUUUUCGUCAAGAGUAAAAGACAUUAAGAAUAUUUGUACAAGUUAUACUAAUCAACACAGGUAAAUGUUUGAAGUUAAAGCACCUACAGAUUAAAUGAUUCGUUGCCAUUUUCAUCUUUAUUGUUGUAUUGAUGUUAGUAUUGAUGACAAUAAAAAUUAAGAAUUGCAUGUUUUCAAAAUUAAGAGUUGAUAAUAAUAAUUAAACUCGACAUCAUAAGAGUAAAAUAGGUAAAUUAUUUAACUUCAAUGCUAUCAGAAUAGAUUUAAAUAGCGAACAUAUUCUGUUUAUUUUAUUCUUAUCAUUUACCAGUACAGAGAUCAAUACACAUGAAUGUAGUGUUACAUCCAAAUAUGUCGUUAUUCGACGCCGAUAUUCAAGUUGAGUUUACAAGUUAAAUCGACUGAUGCUUCGCAGCUUAGCAAUGAGACAAUAUGUUUGCCCGACACGUUCUUCAUAAAUUUGAUACGGAAUGCAAAAUGUCUUUGUGAGAAAAGAAUUGUUUUUCAAUUUAAUUAUCGAACUCAAUAUAAACAAAUAUAUAUAUAGCUAUAAAAGCAAGAGAUAAAAGUGCUUUGAAAAUUAAAAACUAAUAGGCGCAUAUUUGUGUAUCAGUGACUUAAUCUUUAAAGUACGAAUGUGUGCCUUUAUGACAUUUAAAUAAAAA